AUACUUCCCUGGCAGAGGAGACAGCACGAUCACAAAGGUGGUUUACCCAGGGCGAGGCUCAUCCAUUGCACUCGGCAUGUGCUGACUCCUGUUGCUUCCCCAAAUGUGGGAAACUCGACAGCAUAAUUUGUGGUGGUGGGAGACUGCAUUUGUGCUUUUCCCUG
ensembl:snRNA U1 U1 spliceosomal RNA